rnacentral:rRNA from 1 species
GACGAACGCUGGCGGCGUGCCUAAUACAUGCAAGUAGGACGCAGUUGCGAACGGUUGAGUAACGCGUAGGUAACUGCCUAUUAGAGGGGGAUAACUAUUUGAAACGAUAGCUAAUACCGCAUACUAGUAGUUGGACCUGCGUUGUAUUAGCUAGUAGGUAGGGUAAUGGCCUACGUGGGCGACGAUACAUAGCCGACCUGAGAGGGUGAUCGGCCACACUGGGACUGAGACAUGGUACAGACUCCUACGGGAGGCAGCAGUGGGGAAUAUUGCACAAGGGGCGCAAGCCUGAGGCAGCCAUGCCGCGUGUAUGAAGAAGGCCUUCGGGUUGUAAAGUACUGUCAGCGGGGAGGCGUUACCCGCAGAAGAAGCACCGGCUAACUCCGUGCCAGCAGCCGCGGUAAUAC